rnacentral:lncRNA from 1 species
GCAAAUAAAGGCGAGCCUAUGUGCAAUCAUGAGUUCAACCAGAAGAAAUAGAACUGCUCUGGAUAUUAGAACCAAAUUCCCUCAGCUUAAAUUCUUUUUAUGUUCAAAUCAGCAACAUUUAAUGAUGCGUGUCAUCAUUAGAGGAGGUAAGUAUGCAUAAACAACUUCCUAUGAGCAUUAAACAAAAGUAGAAAAAAUCCUAUUUGAUGAGAUGAUGCAUCCAAGAUAACAAGGUUAAAUAAUAUAUGCAUAGAUGGAAAUAAUAUCUCAGCAACGUGCAGAAAAAGUUUCCAACUUAGCCUUCAGCCGCUCUCCAUUCACCUUAAAGUUAUUAAAUAACCAGUAAUAUUCACAAGAAUCUACUAAACCCUUCAGCAAAUAGGACACAGGAAAAAAGCUUAAGUUGAUGGAUUCAUAGCCUUAGGCUCCUCAGCAGUUCCCUGUUAUUUUCACACAUCAAUUCAGAGGAAACAUGAACUCUCAACCUGCUAUUUUUCCC